GGGAGUUGGAGUGGGGGAGAGAGAUGGGACCCUAUCUCUCUUUUCCCUUCUUCAGGGCACACUGGGUCAUGAAGGCCAUGAGGGCCCAAGAGGAGAGAAAGGAGCCAAGGGCGGGAGGGGCAGAGAUGGCCCCCCUGGCAGAACAGGGCCUGUGGGGGUACAAGGCCCCCCUGGGAGACAAGGAUCUGAGGGUCUUCGAGGGAUCCCUGGGGCCACGGUGAGGGCGGACCACGGUAGGGGUGGAUGGAGUGGUGGAAGGGGGUUGGGUAGGGGAAGGUGGAUAGGAGGAUGGGCAGUGGGGGUGGAUGGGGAGACAGACAACGGGAUGGAUGGGGGAACGAGACGGGGGGAAUUGGUGAGGGUUUGGAGCUAAUUCUCUUCCAAUUGGGGGUUUUCAGGGCGAGCAGGGACUCCUGGGUCCCCCGGGCCAGACAGGUCCUCCCGGCCCCCUGGUGAGUUCCUGUUCUGUCCUGGAGAGGGGACGAGUCUGCUCGGACCCUGGCCCCUUGCCCAGGACUCCCUUCCCCCCCCGCAUCCAUGCUGAUCCCCGAGUCUCCCAUCGAGCCGAGGGGCCGGAUUUCUUCCGGAAAGUCCACUCCGCUGCUCCAAGCCUCAGUGCCCUGACACCUGACACUCCCAGUCCCCUCCCCAGUCCCAUCCCCAGCGGGCUGGCAGUCACCACCCCCACCCUCUCCCCCUGCCCCCGCCUCCGCCCCAGGGUCCGAGCGGCCUGCCAGGUCUGAGAGGGGAUCCCGGCUUGAAAGGGGAAAAGGUAAGUGUCCAGGGCUGGGUCUGGGCAUGGGGCCGGGCAUGGAGUUGGGGCUAAGACUAGGGGCUAGGGCUGGAGCCCUCACCCUCACAGUAAUUCCUCACCUCCCCUCUCCCCGCUUCAGGGCCACAUCGGUUUAAAUGGACUCUUUGGCGCUCCAGGGGAGCAUGGAGAGAAGGGAGACAGGGGGCUACCAGGCCCCCAGGGCACACAGGGUCCAAAGGGAGAGCCGGUACGUAUGCGGUUAGCAAUGGCCAAUUUAUCAGCUAA
rnacentral:lncRNA from 1 species